CCUGAGCAGGUGUGAAGUGCAGGAAAUGAGUCGCAUAGUGCCUGCACAGCAGGAGGGGUAAGUGCUGUGCAUUGGCUGAUAUUGAGACUCCUUAACCCUUCCUCAUCGCACCUGCCCUUCAUGGAUUGCCACAUUGGAGGUUUGUUCUUCACUCGGCUAUGUACCAGUGAAUACAUUGGCCCUAUCUGUGAUGUUUCGACAAUAAUACAGGCCAAGGGAUCUCAAAUGGAGACACCUGUAUGCCAAAGCAAUCACGCUAUCGUCUGUUAUACAGACACAUCCACAUAAAUCAAGAGUUCUGAGAUCAGGGCAUCCGUAUGCUAGGCUCACUACUCCAAGAUCACCCACAUUCUCACACCAUCCCAGAUU
rnacentral:misc_RNA from 1 species